rnacentral:rRNA from 1 species
CCUACGGGGUGCAGCAGUAGGGAAUAUUGCUCAAUGGGGGAAACCCUGAAGCAGCAACGCCGCGUGGAGGAUGAAGGUUUUCCGAUUGUUAACUCCUUUUUUUAGAGAAGAUAAUGACGGUAUCUAACCAAUAAGCACCAGCUAACUCCGUGCCAGCAGCCGCUGUAAUACGGAGGGUGCAAGCGUUACUCGGAAUCACUGGGCGUAAAGGGCGCGUAGGCGGUAUAGCAAGUCAGAGGUGAAAUCCUAUGGCUUAACCAUAGAACUGCAUUUGAAACUGGUAUUCUAGAGUAUGGGAGAGGUAGGUGGAAUUCUUGGUGUAGCGGUAAAAUGCGUAGAGAUCAAGAGGAAUACUCAUUGCGAAGGCGACCUGCUAGAACAUAACUGACGCUGAUGCGCGAAAGCGUGGGGAGCGAACAGGAUUAGAUACCCGAGUAGUC